ensembl:lncRNA
CUGGGACCUGGGACCCUGAACCUGGCUGGGACGUGGCUUGGGGUUCUUCUCCCUCUAGAUGCUCUCCUGCCACCAGCUAGAAGGUGGAGCGGUGCUUGCUCAGAGCUCAGCAUCAAGUCCAGAUUCCUCUCCAGCCGAUCUUCCAGGUGUUUUCUCUUUGCACUGGGUUUUUCAGCGACACCCACACUGCUGCGCUGCUCCGAGUGCUGAAGAAUGAGUUCCAGAGCUAUCUCCUUCAAAGCCUCCUGGCCCUGCAGAUGGUGUCUGGGACCCUGUUCUGCCCUCCUUUAUUCCACGUGGUCAUUCCUGCUCAGGACUCACUGCCCAGGCCUGGGCUGCCUCUUCUGCUGACUGUGAGCUGCUCCCUGAGGGCAGGGGCUGGGUCUUCCUGUCUCUGCAGCCCAAGGGCAUGGUACUCAGGAGGUGGUCAGAGUGGUG